UAGUGGGGGACAACCUUUCGAAAGGAACGCUAAUACCGCAUACGUCCUACGGGAGAAAGCAGGGGACCUUCGGGCCUUGCGCUAUCAGAUGAGCCUAGGUCGGAUUAGCUAGUUGGUGAGGUAAUGGCUCACCAAGGCGACGAUCCGUAACUGGUCUGAGAGGAUGAUCAGUCACACUGGAACUGAGACACGGUCCAGACUCCUACGGGAGGCAGCAGUGGGGAAUAUUGGACAAUGGGCGAAAGCCUGAUCCAGCCAUGCCGCGUGUGUGAAGAAGGUCUUCGGAUUGUAAAGCACUUUAAGUUGGGAGGAAGGGCAGUAAAUUAAUACUUUGCUGUUUUGACGUUACCGACAGAAUAAGCACCGGCUAACUCUGUGCCAGCAGCCGCGGUAAUACAGAGGGUGCAAGCGUUAAUCGGAAUUACUGGGCGUAAAGCGCGCGUAGGUGGUUUGUUAAGUUGGAUGUGAAAGCCCCGGGCUCAACCUGGGAACUGCAUUCA
rnacentral:rRNA from 1 species